rnacentral:rRNA from 1 species
GACGGGGGAUGCAAGCGUUAUCCGGAAUCACUGGGCGUAAAGCGUCUGUAGGUGGUGAUGCAAGUCACUGGUGCAAAACUCUGGCUCAACCGGAGGAAAGCCAGUGAAACUGCAAGACUAGAGUGUGGGAGAGGUAGAAGGAAUUCCCUGAGUAGCGGUGAAAUGCGUAGAUACAGGGAAGAACACCGGAGGCGAAAGCGUUCUACUGGAACACAACUGACACUGAGAGACGAAAGCUAGGGGAGCGCAAGGG